GACGAACGCUGGCGGCGUGCUUAACACAUGCAAGUCGAACGGAAAGGCCCUGCUUUUGUGGGGUGCUCGAGUGGCGAACGGGUGAGUAACACGUGAGUAACCUGCCCUUGACUUUGGGAUAACUCCAGGAAACUGGGGCUAAUACCGGAUAUGAGCUCCUGCUGCAUGGUGGGGGUUGGAAAGUUUCGGCGGUUGGGGAUGGACUCGCGGCUUAUCAGCUUGUUGGUGGGGUAGUGGCUUACCAAGGCUUUGACGGGUAGCCGGCCUGAGAGGGUGACCGGCCACAUUGGGACUGAGAUACGGCCCAGACUCCUACGGGAGGCAGCAGUGGAGAAUAUUGCACAAUGGGCGGAAGCCUGAUGCAGCAACGCCGCGUGCGGGAUGACGGCCUUCGGGUUGUAAACCGCUUUCGCCUGUGACGAAGCGUGAGUGACGGUAAUGGGUAAAGAAGCACCGGCUAACUACGUG
rnacentral:rRNA from 1 species